UACAUAAACUAAAUUCCCUUUUAUAUCCCUUGUACCUUCUAUGACCUACCUUCCCAACUUCUCGCUUACAACAGCGCGAGCGACCCAUCCGUCGCGCGAAAAGUACGUCCGUCCUUUUUAUAUAACACUGAGCUCUCGUGUCCCUGACAAUAUUUAUUCCGACACUUCUCCGUCAGUCGUUUUUUCCUGCGUAUCACGUCACAACCGCAUUCCGCGCAGUAUAACACCGUACCUCAAAAGGUUCGUCUGUUUUUCGGAUAAACUUUCCAA